rnacentral:rRNA from 1 species
CCACGCCGUAAACGAUGAGUGCUAAGUGUUAGGGGGUUUCCGCCCCUUAGUGCUGCAGCUAACGCAUUAAGCACUCCGCCUGGGGAGUACGACCGCAAGGUUGAAACUCAAAGGAAUUGACGGGGGCCCGCACAAGCGGUGGAGCAUGUGGUUUAAUUCGAAGCAACGCGAAGAACCUUACCAGGUCUUGACAUCCUUUGACCACUCUGGAGACAGAGCUUUCCCUUCGGGGACAAAGUGACAGGUGGUGCAUGGUUGUCGUCAGCUCGUGUCGUGAGAUGUUGGGUUAAGUCCCGCAACGAGCGCAACCCUUGAUUUUAGUUGCCAGCAUUUAGUUGGGCACUCUAAAGUGACUGCCGGUGCAAGCCGGAGGAAGGUGGGGAUGACGUCAAAUCAUCAUGCCCCUUAUGACCUGGGCUACACACGUGCUACAAUGGAUAGUACAAAGGGUCGCGAAGCCGCGAGGUGGAGCUAAUCCCAUAAAACUAUUCUCAGUUCGGAUUGUAGGCUGCAACUCGCCUACAUGAAGCCGGAAUCGCUAGUAAUCGUGGAUCAGCAUGCCACGGUGAAUACGUUCCCGGGCCUUGUACACACCGCCCGUCACACCACGAGAGUUUGUAACACCCGAAGUCGGUAGGGUAACCUUUAUGGAGCCAGCCGCCGAAGGUGGGACAGAUAAUUGGGGUGAAGUCGUAACAAGGUAGCCGUAUCGGAAGGUGCGGCUGGAUCACCUCCUUUCUAAGGAA